rnacentral:rRNA from 1 species
UACGUAGGGUCCGAGCGUUGUCCGGAAUUAUUGGGCGUAAAGGGCUCGUAGGCGGUUUGUCGCGUCGGGAGUGAAAACCUCGGGCUUAACUCGGGACUUGCUUUCGAUACGGGCAGACUGGAGGUAUGCAGGGGAGAACGGAAUUCCUGGUGUAGCGGUGAAAUGCGCAGAUAUCAGGAGGAACACCGGUGGCGAAGGCGGUUCUCUGGGCAUGACCUGACGCUGAGGAGCGAAAGUGUGGGGAGCGAACAGG